GUGUCAGCAGCCGCGGUAAUACGGAGGGUGCAAACGUUGCUCGGAAUCAUUGGGCGUAAAGCGCACGUAGGCGGUUCGUUAAGUCGGAUGUGAAAGCCCUGGGCUCAACCCAGGAAGAGCAUUCGAAACUGGCGGACUGGAGUAUGGAAGAGGGUCGCGGAAUUCCCGGUGUAGAGGUGAAAUUCGUAGAUAUCGGGAGGAACACCAGUGGCGAAGGCGGCGACCUGGGCCAAUACUGACGCUGAGGUGCGAAAGCGUGGGGAGCAAACAGGAUUAGAAACCCUGGUAGUCC
rnacentral:rRNA from 1 species